rnacentral:misc_RNA from 1 species
GAUGAAGGAACGCAGUGAAAUGCGAUAAGUAAUGUGAAUUGCAGAAUUCAGUGAAUCAUCGAAUCUUUGAACGCACAUUGCGCCCCUUGGUAUUCCGAGGGGCAUGCCUGUUCGAGCGUCAUUAUAACCCUCAAGCUCAGCUUGGUGUUGGGGCCUGCUGCACUGGCAGCCCUUAAAAUCAGUGGCGGCGCCAUCUGGCUCUAAGCGUAGUAAUUCUUCUCGCUAUGGAGUCCUGGUGGAUGCUUGCCAUCAACCCCCAAUUUUUCUAUGGUUGACCUCGGAUCAGGUAGGGAUACCCGCUGAACUUAAGCAUAUCAUAAGCGGAGGA